rnacentral:rRNA from 1 species
AGCGAACGCUGGCGGCAGGCCUAACACAUGCAAGUCGAACGAACCUUUCGGGGUUAGUGGCGGACGGGUGAGUAACACGUGGGAACGUGCCUUUAGGUUCGGAAUAACUCAGGGAAACUUGUGCUAAUACCGAAUGUGCCCUUCGGGGGAAAGAUUUAUCGCCUUUAGAGCGGCCCGCGUCUGAUUAGCUAGUUGGUUGAGGUAAUGGCUCACCAAGGCGACGAUCAGUAGCUGGUCUGAGAGGAUGAUCAGCCACAUUGGGACUGAGACACGGCCCAAACUCCUACGGGAGGCAGCAGUGGGGAAUCUUGCGCAAUGGGCGAAAGCCUGACGCAGCCAUGCCGCGUGAAUGAUGAAGGUCUUAGGAUUUUAAAAUUCUUUCACCGGGGACGAUAAUGACGGUACCCGGAGAAGAAGCCCCGGCUAACUUCGUG